AGUGAACGCUGGCGGUAGGCCUAACACAUGCAAGUCGAACGGCAGCACAGUAAGAGCUUGCUCUUACGGGUGGCGAGUGGCGGACGGGUGAGGAAUACAUCGGAAUCUACUUUUUCGUGGGGGAUAACGUAGGGAAACUUACGCUAAUACCGCAUACGACCUACGGGUGAAAGCAGGGGAUCUUCGGACCUUGCGCGAUUGAAUGAGCCGAUGUCGGAUUAGCUAGUUGGCGGGGUAAAGGCCCACCAAGGCGACGAUCCGUAGCUGGUCUGAGAGGAUGGGCGGCGAAGGUGGAAGUGAGGGGCGGGAGAGAGUCAGACGGGAGGAAGCAGCGGGGAAUAUUGGACAAGGGGCGCAAGCGUGAUACAGCGAUAACGAGUGGGUGAAGAAGGCACUCGGGUUGGAGAGGCAGCUAGUGGGGAAAAAAAAGCAGCAGGUUAAGACCCCGCUGUUAUGAAGGUAGCAAAAGAAGAAGGACCGGCUAACUUAGUG
rnacentral:rRNA from 1 species